GGUUUGGUAACACGAGAUGUGAAAAGCCCCGGGCUUAACCUGGGGAUCGGCAUUUCCGAACUGUCUGACUAGAGUGUGGUAGGAGGGUAGUGGAAUUUCCUGUGUAGCGGUGAAAUGCGUAGAAUAUAGGAAAGGAACACCAGUGGCGAAAGGCGGCUACCUGGACCAACACUGACACUGGAGGUGCGAAAGCGUGGGGAGCAAACAGGAUUAGAUACCCUGGUAGUCCACGCCGUAAACGAUGUCAACUAUCCGUUGGGACUCUUGAAGUCUUAGUGGCGCAGCUAACGCAUUAAGUUGACCGCCUGGGGAGUACGGCCGCAAGGUUAAAACUCAAAUGAAUUGACGGGGGCCCGCACAAGCGGUGGAGCAUGUGGUUUAAUUUGACGCAACGCGAAGAACCUUACCUGACCUUGACAUCCAGAGAACUUUCCAGAGAUGGAUUGGUGCCUUCGGGAACUAUGAGACAGGUGCUGCAUGGCCGUCGUCAGCUCGUGUCGUGAGAUGUUGGGUUAAGUCCCGUAACGAGCGCAACCCCUAUCCCUGGUUGCUAGCAGGUAAUGCUGAGAACUCCAGGGAGACUGCCGGUGACAAACCGGAGGAAGGUGGGGAUGACGUCAGGUCAUCAUGGCCCUUACGGCCAGGGCUACACACGUGCUACAAUGGCGCGUACAGAGGGCUGCCAACUCGCGAGAGUGAGCCAAUUCCUUAAAACGCGUCGUAGUCCGGAUCGGAGUCUGCAACUCGACUCCGUGAAG
rnacentral:rRNA from 1 species